AGAGUUUGAUCCUGGCUCAGGAUAAACGCUGGCGGCGUGCCUAACACAUGCAAGUCGAACGCCCAGUGGUUUUUCGGAACCACCGGGAGUGGCGGACGGGUGAGUAACACAUGGGUGACCUGGCCCAAAGUGAGGGAUACCGGCGAGAAAUCGCCGACAAACCCGCAUAGGCUCUCUGCGGUGGAGCGCAGCGAGCAAAG
rnacentral:rRNA from 1 species